UACGUAGGGUGCGAGCGUUGUCCGGAAUUAUUGGGCGUAAAGAGCUCGUAGGCGGUCUGUCGUGUCGAUCGUGAAAACUUGGGGCUUAACCCUGAGCUUGCGGUCGAUACGGGCAUGACUGGAGUUCGGCAGGGGAGACUGGAAUUCCUGGUGUAGCGGUGAAAUGCGCAGAUAUCAGGAGGAACACCGGUGGCGAAGGCGGGUCUCUGGGCCGAUACUGACGCUGAGGAGCGAAAGCGUGGGGAGCGAACAGG
rnacentral:rRNA from 1 species